rfam:Triticum aestivum genome assembly, contig: Triticum_aestivum_CS42_TGACv1_scaffold_289080_4AL
UUUCUACUCCCUCCGUUCCAAAAUAGAUGACCCAACUUUGUAUUAACUUUUAAUACAAAGUUGGGUCAUCUAUUUUGGAACGGAGGGAGUAGAUG